UUUAGAGUUUGAUUUCCUGCUCAGAUUGAACGCUGGCGGCAGGCCUAACACAUGCAAGUCGAGCGGUAACAGGGGUAGCUUGCUACCCGCUGACGAGCGGCGGACGGGUGAGUAAUGCAUAGGAAUCUGCCCGGUAGUGGGGGAUAACCUGGGGAAACCCAGGCUAAUACCGCAUACGUCCUACGGGAGAAAGGGGGCUCCGGCUCCCGCUAUUGGAUGAGCCUAUGUCGGAUUAGCUAGUUGGUGAGGUAAAGGCUCACCAAGGCAACGAUCCGUAGCUGGUCUGAGAGGAUGAUCAGCCACAUCGGGACUGAGACACGGCCCGAACUCCUACGGGAGGCAGCAGUGGGGAAUAUUGGACAAUGGGGGCAACCCUGAUCCAGCCAUGCCGCGUGUGUGAAGAAGGCCCUCGGGUUGUAAAGCACUUUCAGCGAGGAAGAACGCCUAGUGGUUAAUACCCAUUAGGAAAGACAUCACUCGCAGAA
rnacentral:rRNA from 1 species